GGUAUUUUGGUAUUUUACCGUUUUUUACUGUGGCAUUUGAUCCUUUUUUAGUAUUUGCAUGCUUACUGUUUUUAGCUUCAAAUAUUGUUCUUUUAAUGAUGGAAACCGCCUUGAGGAGAAAGGCGGAGUAAAAAAAAUAUUUAAAAUAAAAUAGAUAAAUCGUGAGGGAAAGCCUAUCAUUUUUUUUCUUUCGCCACCUAGUGGUGGAAAGGAGAAGUUCCCUGGGUGGGGAAAAGCUCCCACGGAGCAUGCUCAGAUCGGUUCUUGUCGCUCAGGUGGGGGGGAGAGAAGAUGGCCGCCGGUUUGGGCAAACAGAAACCCUGCAAGCCACGCAGGUAUUCCCGACAGCGGUGAAGGUUGGUGGCGGCGCAUCUCAUUGCCAAUCAGUGAUGAACUGGGCAUGGGCAGGAUUCUGGGCAGGACUUAUGUAGACUUCAAAGCCAGCUACUCCGACAGCGUAUCGGAAUAGCCCAUCAGUGGAUGAU
rnacentral:lncRNA from 1 species